UUCGCCCUUAGAGUUUGAUCCUGGCUCAGGACGAACGCUGGCGGCGCGCCUAACACAUGCGAGUCGAACGGAACUUGAGAGGGCUUGCUUUUUCAAGUUUAGUGGCGAACGGGUGAGUAACGCGUGAGUAACCUGCCCUGGAGUGGGGGACAACAGUUGGAAACGACUGCUAAUACCGCAUAAGCCCGCAGUGCCGCAUGGCACAGCGGGAAAAGGAUUUAUUCGCUUCAGGAUGGACUCGCGUCCAAUUAGCUAGUUGGUGAGGUAACGGCCCACCAAGGCGACGAUUGGUAGCCGGACUGAGAGGUUGAACGGCCACAUUGGGACUGAGACACGGCCCACACUCCUACGGGAGGCAGCAGUGGGGGAUAUUGCACAAUGGGGGAAACCCUGAUGCAGCGACGCCGCGUGGAGGCAGAAGGUUUUCGGAUUGUAAACUCCUGUCGUAAGGGACGAUAAUGACGGGACCUUACGAGAAAGCCACGGCUAACUACGUGCCAACAGCCGCGGUAAAACGUACGUGGCAAGCGUUGUCCGGAAUUACUGGGUGUAAAGGGAGCGCACGCGGACCGGCGAGUUGGAAGUGAAAUCUAUGGGCUCAACCCAUAAAUUGCUUUCAAAACUGCUGGCCUUGAGUAGUGCAGAGGUAAGGCGGAAUUCCCGGUGUAGCGGUGGAAUGCGUAGAUAUCGUGAGGAACACCCCGGGGCGAAGGCGGUCUACUGGACACCCACUGACGUUGAGGCUCGUAAGCGUGGGGAGCGAACAUGAUUACAUACCCUGGUAGUCCACGCCGUAGACGAUAAAUACUAGGUGUUGGGGAGCAAAGCUCUUCGGUGCCGCAGCAAACGCAAUAAGUACUCCACCUGGGGAGUACGUUCGCAAGAAUGAAACUCAAAGGAAUUGACGGGGACCCGCACAAGCGGUGGAGCAUGUGGUUUAAUUCGAAGCAACGCGAAGAACCUCACCAGGUCUUGACAUCCCCCUGACCGGCCCGUAACGGGGCCUUUCCUUCGGGACAGGGGAGACAGGUGGUGCAUGGUUGUCGUCAGCAUCGUGUCGUGAGAUGUUGGGUUAAGUCCCGCAACGAGCGCAACCCUUAUCCUUAGUAGCCAGCAGGCAGAGCUGGGCACUCUAGGGAGACUGCCGGGGAUAACCCGGAGGAAGGCGGGGACGGCGUCAAAUCAUCAUGCCCCUUAUGAUCUGGGCUACACACGUGCUACAAUGGCGUAAACAAAGGGAAGCGAGAUGGUGACAUGGAGCGAAUCCCAAAAAUAACGUCCCAGUUCGGACUGUAGUCUGCAACCCGACUACACGAAGCUGGAAUCGCUAGUAAUCGCGAAUCAGAAUGCCGCGGUGAAUACAAACCCGGGUCUUGUACACACCGCCCGUCA
rnacentral:rRNA from 1 species